GCUGGGCAUGGUGGUGCAUGCCUGUAGUCCCAGCUACUCGGGAGGCUGAGGUGGGAGGAUUAUUUGUGCCCGGGAGGUUGAGGCUGCAGUGAGCUGAAAUCACAUCACUGGACUCCAGCCUGGGCAACAGAGCGAGACCCUGUCUCAU
rnacentral:SRP_RNA from 1 species